rnacentral:rRNA from 1 species
GGAGUCUGGGCCGUGUCUCAGUCCCAAUGUGGCCGUCCAACCUCUCAGUCCGGCUACUGAUCGUCGACUUGGUAGGCCGUUACCCCACCAACUAUCUAAUCAGACGCGAGCCCAUCUUUGAGCGAUAAAUCUUUGAUUGCCAGAUCAUGCGGUCCGGCAAUGUUAUGCGGUAUUACCAUCCGUUUCCAGAAGCUAUUCCACUCUCAAAGGCAGGUUGCUCACGUGUUACUCACCCGUCCGCCACUAAGUUAUUCAGAGCAAGCUCCAAAUAACUCCGUUCGACUUGCAUGUGUUAAGCGUGCCGCCAGCGUGUC